UACGGAGGGGGCUAGCGUUGUUCGGAAUCACUGGGCGUAAAGGGCGCGUAGGCGGCUUUAUAAGUCGGGGGUGAAAGCCUGUGGCUCAACCGCAGAAUUGCCUUCGAUACUGUAGAGCUUGAGACCGGAAGAGGUAAGUGGAACUGCGAGUGUAGAGGUGAAAUUCGUAGAUAUUCGCAAGAACACCAGUGGCGAAGGCGGCUUACUGGUCCGGUUCUGACGCUGAGGCGCGAAAGCGUGGGGAGCAAACAGG
rnacentral:rRNA from 1 species